rnacentral:hammerhead_ribozyme from 1 species
AUCCAGCUGACUGGUCCCAAAUAACACGAAACGUGCGUCCUGGAU